rnacentral:rRNA from 1 species
CCUUGUACACACCGCCCGUCAAGUCAUGGGAGCCGGAAAUGGCCGAAGCCGCCGCAUCACAGCGGUGUCUACGCCAGGUUCGGUGACUGGGACU